rnacentral:rRNA from 1 species
GACGAACGCUGGCGGCGUGCUUAACACAUGCAAGUCGAACGGAAAGGCCCUGCUUUUGUGGGGUGCUCGAGUGGCGAACGGGUGAGUAACACGUGAGUAACCUGCCCUUGACUUUGGGAUAACUUCAGGAAACUGGGGCUAAUACCGGAUAGGAGCUCCUGCUGCAUGGUGGGGGUUGGAAAGUUUCGGCGGUUGGGGAUGGACUCGCGGCUUAUCAGCUUGUUGGUGGGGUAGUGGCUUACCAAGGCUUUGACGGGUAGCCGGCCUGAGAGGGUGACCGGCCAAAUGGGGAUUGAGAUACGCCCCAGCCUCUGCCGGGAGGCAGCAGGGGGGAAUAUUGCACAAUGGGCGGAAGCCUGAUGCAGCAACGCCGCGUGCGGGAUGACGGCCUUCGGGUUGUAAACCGCUUUCGCCUGUGACGAAGCGUGAGUGACGGUAAUGGGUAAAGAAGCACCGGCUAACUACGUG